UGGGGAAUAUUGGACAAUGGGCGCAAGCCUGAUCCAGCCAUGCCGCGUGGGCGAAGAAGGCCUUCGGGUUGUAAAGCCCUUUUGUUGGGAAAGAAAUCCUGUCGGCUAAUACCCGGCGGGGAUGACGGUACCCAAAGAAUAAGCACCGGCUAACUUCGUGCCAGCAGCCGCGGUAAUACGAAGGGUGCAAGCGUUACUCGGAAUUACUGGGCGUAAAGCGUGCGUAGGCGGUUCGUUAAGUCUGUCGUGAAAGCCCUGGGCUCAACCUGGGAAUUGCGAUGGAUACUGGCGAGCUAGAGUACGGUAGAGGAUGGUGGAAUUCCCGGUGUAGCGGUGAAAUGCGUAGAGAUCCGGAGGAACACCAGAGGCGAAGGCGGCACUCUAAGCCGUACCUGACACUGAGACGCGACAGCACGGGGAGCAAACG
rnacentral:rRNA from 1 species